rnacentral:rRNA from 1 species
AAUAAGGAUCGGCUAACUCCGUGCCAGCAGCCGCGGUAAUACGGAGGAUCCGAGCGUUAUCCGGAUUUAUUGGGUUUAAAGGGAGCGUAGAUGGAUGUUUAAGUCAGUUGUGAAAGUUUGCGGCUCAACCGUAAAAUUGCAGUUGAUACUGGAUAUCUUGAGUGCAGUUGAGGCAGGCGGAAUUCGUGGUGUAGCGGUGAAAUGCUUAGAUAUCACGAAGAACUCCGAUUGCGAAGGCAGCCUGCUAAGCUGCAACUGACAUUGAGGCUCGAAAGUGUGGGUAUCAAACAGGAUUAGAUACCCUGGUAGUCCACACGGUAAACGAUGAAUACUCGCUGUUUGCGAUAUACUGCAAGCGGCCAAGCGAAAGCGUUAAGUAUUCCACCUGGGGAGUACGCCGGCAACGGUGAAACUCAAAGGAAUUGACGGGGGCCCGCACAAGCGGAGGAACAUGUGGUUUAAUUCGAUGAUACGCGAGGAACCUUACCCGGGCUUAAAUUGCAGAUGAAUUACGGUGAAAGCCGUAAGCCGCAAGGCAUCUGUGAAGGUGCUGCAUGGUUGUCGUCAGCUCGUGCCGUGAGGUGUCGGCUUAAGUGCCAUAACGAGCGCAACCCCUCUCCGUAGUUGCCAUCGGGUAAUGCCGGGCACUCUGCGGACACUGCCACCGUAAGGUGUGAGGAAGGUGGGGAUGACGUCAAAUCAGCACGGCCCUUACGUCCGGGGCCACACACGUGUUACAAUGGCCGUCACAGAGGGGAGCCGGGCGACCGGCUCAUGAUCCUUAAAAACGGUCUCAGUUCGGACUGGGGUCUGCAACCCGACCCCACGAAGCUGGAUUCGCUAGUAAUCGCGCAUCAGCCAUGGCGCGGUGAAUACGUUCCCGGGCCUUGUACACACCGCCCGUCAAGCCAUGGGAGCUUGGAGUGCCUGAA